UCCGAUAUGGUGUAGUGGUUAACAUCGUUCGCUCUCAUUAGGAUAUCAUCCGACUUGGACCGAACAGCCCCGGGUUCGAUUCCCGGUGUCGGAA
rnacentral:tRNA from 1 species